GGAGUUCAGUUGGUAGAGCAUGAGAUUUUUAAUCUCAGGGUUGUGGGUUUGACCCCCACGUUGGGCU